GUAUUUCUUCAGCAGCACAGGCAAUAAAGACGGAAUGACACAGAAAAGAUUAGUAUGGCUCCUGUACCAGGAUGACACACAAAUUCCCCUGUUUUA
ensembl:snRNA U6 U6 spliceosomal RNA